rnacentral:tRNA from 1 species
GCCGAGGUGGCGGAAUUGGCAGACGCACUAGCUUGAGGUGCUAGCGGGGGCAACCCCAUGCAGGUUCAAGUCCUGUCCUCGGCA